rnacentral:lncRNA from 1 species
GUUCCUUCCUCCGGCGGUGGACACGGAGCUGCUGCUUCCACAUGGCCGCUGAUUGUGAAUUGCGCUGCUGGGAAUGGGGUGCACUGACUUCCAUCUUUUUAAGGCUGAAUACUCCUCCAUGUAUGUAAUAACUUGGUUUUGCAGGUUGAAUUGAGAUAAAAACUGAAGACCCCAAACCAAUCUUGGAUUCUGUGGCUAAGCAGUUGGGGACGACGGUGCCCCCGUGCCCGGGGCAGGCAUCCUGCGCUCUCACAGCCCUGGCCAGUGGCACCGGCAGUGCCCCUCCGGCCACACCCCGGCCAGGUUUUCUAAGGCUGGACAAACACAGGGGCCCCCACUGGUGGGUGCGGCAGACUGACUGGGGUCAGAGGUAUGGGGAGAACACGCGGAGAUCCACCCAAGAAGGGGAGCGAUUGUGCCACAGUCGAGGGGGCCACGGCGAUGGUGUGGUCACACGGCCUCGGUCACCCUCCAGAGGACCCUCCACAUCCUGAACUCUCCAGAAUCUCAGGAGCCUCACCCAGACUCAGAGCGAGGUUUGUCCACACUGGAGCCCUGACGCACGAGGGUAGAGACCACCAGGACUCACACCGCAGCCCCCCAUGCGGCCCCACCAGCCCCCAGGGCCUUGGCGCUGCACCCAGAUCGCCAGCCCGGUCUCCUGUAGCCCGAGGGUGGGUUCCCUUUCAGAGGCCCCCCGCUCACCUUCGCUCCUGCUGGGAGCCCUGGGCGGACUCCCCCCCACCCCGCCC